UCAAAUGUCUGUCUUUCAAUUUAUUUAUGAAAACUCAACUUUCAGAAUUAAAUGAAUACAUUUUAUAGAAACACUGAGAGAGGCCUUGAUAGAUAUUUUCCUUUGGAAAUGCUAAAGAGCAAAAUAUAACAAUUUGGUGGCAAACAUCUGUCUGUUAAUCAUAUAAGAUAAAUUCAUAAGGAAUACACGAAAGAUAUUUAUUUCCUGUUACUGCUAAGCCAGUCUUUAUUUAUCUUGGAAGAUUUUUCAUCUAUGAGUGGAAAACAAACUUUCCUUCAAGAGGUCUGUGAACCGAAUAAUAAAUGUCAGGUCUAAAUCCUGUAUGAAAAUCAGUCCGGUUUAAUCCUGGAUAUUCUUCAGCAUGCAAAUGAGGCCUGGAGGUUUCCCUGGGCCUGCUGUCAUACAGGCAGCCAAUUUACAGACCCUGGCACAGUGUAUGUGUUAGGGGCUCGGCUGCCCCUCCCCCCAGCCUAAGACUUGGUCUCAGCUGCCUGCCUUUCACAGAAAACCACAAACCAAGGAAACAUAUCAGUAAUAGCGCCCUGUAAAUUAACUUGACAUUUGAUGCAGAAAAAACCCUAAAAGCUUACAAAAGACAUUGAAAACAAAAGCCACUCAGGACUCACACUACAUAUAUUGUGGAUUUAAGAGAUCUGGAAGGUGGUUAUUCUGUUGUAACCAACAUAUACAGCCUUCAUCUUCUUUGUUAAGACAAUUCAGUCAUUCUUUGUUACAAGCAGACUAUCCGUCAAACAACAAAACAAUGUUUUCCUCAAUAACUACCUAGAAGUCCAACUGGUAUUAGAAUCAUAAUUCAAUCAGGCUUUGAAUGUACAUUAAUAGAUAAAGUCCUAUAUUCCUACUGUUUAAUAAGAAGAUAAAAUGUGAGUAUAUGUCUCUUUGGUAAACAGGACAUGUUGACUUUUCUAACAUGUAAAUAAUGUAAGACUCAUUCAAAAAUUAUGUAAAUCUUGCUAAAUGUGGGAUAUUUACAAAUAUUAUGUGUCUUAAAAUUUUGCCAUUCAAGGGAUUUCGUUUUCCUCAUGCUUGGAAACGAGGAAUGCUUAAUAUAAUAUAUAUAUUCAUAUAUAUGGAUAAAAACACACACAUACACACACAUAUAUAUAUGUAUAGAUAUACAUAUAUAUAUAUUUGUGGUUCAAAGAAGGACUGUUGAUAAAAUAUUAAAUGCUUCUUUGACAUCAGCUGUGGCAUGGGGCUAGAGUGAGGCACCGAACAUAUUUAAGCCAUUAGACAUGCAGGAAUGUUACCAUUAUUAUGCAGUAUUGUGUCUGACUCUCUCUCUCUCUCUCUCUCUCUCUCUCUCUCUCUCUCUCUCUCUCUCUCUCUCUCUCUCUCUUUCUCUCUCUCUCCCUCCCUCCCUUCCUCCCUCUCCCUCCUUCUUUUCCUUCCUUAUUCCCUCCUCCCAAGCUUCUCUGUAUUUCUCCUUCCUCUGCCUCCCUCAGCAGGGUCUGCUACACUGAACGCUGCAAAUUCUGGCCUUAUAGUUUACAAGCACAGAACCACACUGGUGAAAAUGUAUAAUCUUAGCAUCUGUGCUUCUUGAUAUUCAUGGAUUUAUUUACAAGUCCCUGUGUUCUACUUUUUUUACCUCUUUCUAUGGUUUAUAUGUCUGUCGUGCCUGUAUUCUUGUGGGAAUUUCAAAUAAGAAUCAAGAUAUACCUGGCAAAUGUUCUGUAAUGCUGUCUGCAUCUCCAUAAUUUAGCUGUUUCUUUAAAAGAAAAAAGUGUAAAGAGGCUUAUAGACUUAAGGAUAUAUGAAGAGUGUUUUGAUUGGGUUUUUUAGUGCUUUAACUGCUGAAGGUUCGGUUUGUAUAAAAUGUACGUAAUAAAGUAAAUUUAUGAACAUAUAUGCACUUGUGUCUAUGUAAAUAUAAACACAUUUAGAAAAGAACUUCAUAAAUCUGGGUCAAAUUUACUGAUUAAGCUCACUGUAUUCACAUUUGGUAACAUUAAGAUAUCUCACAGACAGGUUCAAGGGUAAAAGUUGAGCAUUUUAUACCUCCUCUAGAUGCAACACUUAACUAUUUAUAAAGUAAGGAGUAUUCACAGUCCUGUGACUCCAGCCCUCAGCAUACAGACCAGACACAUCCCUGCAUGCAGCUCCUUCAACUGCAGCCCUCUAGUGCACAUUACUAGUGCCAGGAAAUUUGUUUUCUUUCUUUUCUUCUCUUUUUGAUAUGAAGAAAAACUCUUUUGAAUAAUUUAAUUAGCACCCUAACCAGAAAUUUAACUUAUUUUACAAUAAUUUUCCUCCCAUAGAUACCCUCCCCCAACAAAAAAGAAUUUCUCCUUGAAAUUAUCAAUGCAUUUGUUUUUUGAGAUUAAUAUUCACUACUAUAAUAUAACACUGAAAUCAGAGAAGUCCAUGUGUAUGCUUUACUGUGUAUAGCCCCAAUUUAAUUACUAUGUGUUAAACCACCUGGACAGUGAAAUGAAUUUAUGGAUAUGUUUUGAGACAGCAAUAUUUUGGAACUGCAUAAGAGAAAAAAUGGGGUGAUGAGGACAUUGCAUUCAAUGGUAUCAAUGCUAAUAUUCUUGACAAUUCAUACUCUAGGGAGAGAAAACGUUAAAUAUGAGAACUUUAUGAUAAAGGCUUGUUAUAGUCCUAAAGUGUGGGGUAUAUAAAAUAUUAGCGUUUUCACGUGCACAGUCAUAACACAUGCUAAGCAGCAUAGAUUAUUAAGAAGAUUCAUUCCUUUUUUGGAGAGGGAGGGGAGAAAUUACAGACAAGCACUAAGCUAUUCUGUUUAACACAACUCUGUCUAGUUGAUUGUAAGGCAUGUGUGUAGUGUUUUUCUAAAGCCCGUCAUCAACAGCAAAGCAAUUUACAGCUCAAGAUAGUUUUUAGCAGAUACUCAUUUUAUUAAGAGUCAACAAGAUAGGUUUAACGGAAAGAUAUACAUGCAUUUGCAAUUCAUAUUGUUGCUGUGUUUCUAUUGUGUUCUGAGUUCCAUCAUGGCUGGGAGAUGGGAAGCUGGCAUGCAGUACGGAAGGGUAAGACAGAAAGCUCCAAGUAAAUACUUAGAGCAUUUCCCCUAAUUAUCUCUAAUUACGACCACCUUUCUUACCAUGCCCCUACCACGGUAGGGCACCGGGAAUGGAAAGAGAUAGGAAACGAAUGAUUCUUGGUGCAGAUCAUAUCCAUGCUUAAAUAACAUUAGUGAUUAUUUUGGUCUAGAGGAUGAUGUUUCAUUCUGGACUGCCAAGCCCCUCAGUCUACCCAUUCAAAGAGAUGACAGAAAAUGAAUCUGAAUGUGCAGGCAUUAAACAUUUAAAUUCUCUACUCCCUGGUCAUUACAGGACUGUCAUAUUUUACACCUUCCCCUCCCCCACUCUGUUUUGCUGAUUUGACUUCAUUUACAUUUAGCUCAUUAUGCAUCCGGUCUUUGUUCUACUGAACGGGAUACAGUACAGUGACAAAGCAAAACUCACAUGUCGGCUGGAAUCAUUCUUCUGAUUUAAAAAUUAGAUUUCACUACUUAAAUUUACAUUUAAUUCCCCAACAUUGUUUAAAUUGGAGGUGAGAUUUUUCGUAUGUGAUAAUUAUAAUAUAUAUGCAAUGAUUUUUAAAAGUGGUUAAAAUUACCUGAAAAUGUCAUUAAGAAAUGACAUUUAAGACCUUUUAUAACAAAUAUUCUGCUGCUACAUAGGCAAUACUAUCAUAUUAGAAGCAUUAGGUUAUUCUUUCCAAGCUUGCUUGGAUCACUAUAGAUGUCCAAGAAGCAAGCUUUUAUCUAUUUUAUAUUAACUUUAUUGUUUAGAUCAGCCCCUUAUGGACCUUAUUUUAACAUAUCAAACAACAAAGGUAAUGUCAAUCCUUUAAAAAAAAGAAUUUCUGCUUUGCAUUCCUUGCAAUUAAGAAGAGUUUCUGAUUUACAAAGCAAAUUUUCAUUAAAGGGAAGUCCUAGCUGACCGAUCACACAGAAAAAUAUGAAAGUUACAUCGAGCUUUAAAUGUCUAUCCCCAUGACAGUGCACACUAUCUUUUCAUUUGUUGCAACCAAUGGAGACAUGGGAUUAAUCUAAUACAGCCUAAUUAAACACCCAUUCACACAUGAGGGUUUUUAAUAGGAUAGUGUCGAGAAUGCUACUUUGUAUCUCAGUUAUAUUUGCGUUUGUGGUUGGACAACAGAUGUUUUUAAAUGUAAAGAAAAAUUAAAUAUUAGUGAGCAUGCUUUUUUUGUCAUUCCCAAACAAGAUAAUUGCCAUAAGUAAAAUUUCAUUUCAUUCCCUUUAUAUGUUUUGACCAAGAUGUUUUUCUAAAUUUUGCUAUAGUUACAAAUGUAUACUCAUGAUCACAUGGCUACACAUCCGGAGCCAUCUUUGAAGAAAAGAACACCAUUAUACCUUCUUGGCUCUGUUAAUGACUCAUUGUGUGACCUCUAGCUUCUCCCCUAACCUGUUUAUGCCUUUAUUUUUUUCAUCUAUGGAAAGGGAAUAUUUGUCCAUUAUGUACCCCUACCGAGAUUUUGCAAAGUUUAAUUAGAAUAAAAUAUUACUCUUAGGAAGGAAGUAUCUUAUGAAGGCAAGCUUCCUUUUUCAUUGAUUAAUUUUUACUACAUUGUGAGAAAAUGCAGUGCUGCAUAUUUUUAUGUGUUCAGCCAAUCUCUUAAAAUUUGGGACUUUGAUCCUAAAAUUAAUAAAAAUAAAAUACAAAUGCUUAGUUGUGUUUCUUGGAGGUAGGAGCAGUCACCCAUGUCUUGGCAAUUUAUAUCAUAUAAUCUUGUUAUCAUCUGCAAGAUAUUUCUGUAAGCAUAAUUGGUUUUGGAAAAUGGCUUUUGCAGUAAAAGUAGUCAAUACAGCAGCAUUUAGAGUGAGUGCUGCAUGCAGGAAGAUUAGAAAUUCAGCAAAGAGUUCUUACCAGUGUUGGCUCUCAAGGGAAAUAGUAAAUAGAGGUUUCAUGUCUACAGUUAUUUAAGAAUAUCUUGAUUUUUUUUUUUUAGUACUAGACAUUUUAUUUAUUAGCUAACAUGCACCUCUAAUGUAAAAAGAUGUAUAAAAUGUUAUCAUUUGAGUGUUUAACUAGGCUAAUUUAGAAGAUGAAUCCAUCUCAAUGCCAUUUCCAAAAUAUUAUCUGGACAUAAGUAACUUUAUUGCUAUUUUUAGGGUUAAACUGGUAUUAUGUAGUAUAUUUGUUCUUCGGUUGGGUUGGAUUACCUAAAAUAAUUCUUUCUUGGUCCAAUUUAGCCUCAUAGCAUUUGAUCAUACUUCCCUGGAAUCUGAGACACAUCAGUAUCAUGCACAAAUCUAAAAAAUAUUCUAUGAGGUAUUCUGUAUGUGUCCCUUUAAUGCGUGUUCAUUCAUUGCUGAAUACGUGAUAUUAUCUUAUUUAAUCCUUGAGACCAGGAAACAAGCAGGUUUAUAGUUAGACACAGAGAUGACUUUACUAAAGUCUGAGCGGGAUCAGAAAGUCUGAUGGCUUACCCCAUCAGAAUUAGAUAUACAUAUCAGUGUUUGCUGGGACGGUGGACAGCACUGCUGUUACCUAAUGUUGUGGGGCCCUUUCUGAGAAGAGUCAAAACUCUGCCUUCAUUAACUCAGACAAAGACAUACGUAUGAAUUGCUUGAUUUAUAAAAUGUAAGCAGGCAUAAUGGGUGUUUUGUCGAAUUGAGGGGAAGACUUAAGAAUCAGUCCAAAAUGCCAUGCUUCUGUCCCCCUUUGCUAUGGUUACCAGUAUUCUAGAUAGUAUCUGAUCCACGAAACUGAGUCUCAAACCAAGGGCUACAGUGAGUUAGAGGAAAUGCUCCAAUUGACUCACAGUGAGUUGAAUGAGAAAGAAAGAAGAAAAAACUUGAACUUAAGUCACUGGGAAUUGAAGAUUUUGUGUUUUUAUAAAAGUCCCUUGGUUCUCCGGGUGUGCUUUGUGGACCCCUGGCUUUCCUAAAGCUGUAGGCUGGAAUCCACAGAUCAAAACUACUUUCAUGCUAUGGGGAUUGUUAUUUCCCUUUGGCUUUCAUUUCUUUGCAAAUGCCAUGCUGUGUGUGCAUUCUAUUGUAAUAAACAAACUACAAGGACCCGGUUGUACUGUGAAAUGGAUGUUAACGUCCAUAUAUCCAUAUGUUGAAGUCAUAAUCCCUAGUGUUUUGGUAUUUGAAGACAAAGACAAUGAUAACCCUUCUUCCAGAAUCCAUCAAUACCCAAAAUAGUUCAGCAGAAAGAAACAGAGUCCCCCCAAUCUCCUAUCUGAUCCACGAUUGUCUGUUGAUAUAUAUGGCCAGUACUGUAUAGGCCCAUUGUGGGUAAGCACAGCUGCUGUUAGAUCAUGACUGUGUUGACUAUUUGGUGCUCAGGAGACAGCUCCCUACAUCUCUGCUCUUUUUUUUCCUUCUCUCAUAUCUUACAUCCCAACCACAAUUUCCCCUCCCUCCACUCCACCUGCUUCCUGUCUCCCCAGAUCCACUCAUCUUCCAUUUCCCUUCAGAAAAGGGCAGACUUCCCAGGAUUAUCAACCAAACAUAUCAUAUCUACUUGCAAUAAGACUAGGCCUACACACACACACACACACACACACACACACACACACACACAUCAUAUUAAGACUGGUCAAGACAACCCAGUAUGAAAAAAAGGGCCCCAAGAGCAGUCACAAGAGUCAGAGACAGCCCCCACUCCCACUGUUAGGAGUCCCACAAGAACACCAAGCUACACAACCAUAACACAUACGCAGAGGACCUUGCACAGACCCAUACAUGGUCUCUAAUUGUUGGUCCAGUCAGCCUGAGCCCCUGUGAGCCCUGGUUAAUUGAUCCUAUGAUUUUCUUGUGGUGUUCUUGACCCCUCUGGCUCCAACAAUCCUUCAUCCCCCUCUGAUUGUGAUUCUGAGAACUCUGUCUAAUGUUUGGCUGUGGGUCUCUGCAUCUGCUUCCAUCAGUUGCUAGAUGAAGCCUCUCUGAUGACAAUUAUGCUAGGCUCUGGUCUGCAAGGAUAGCAGAAUAUCACUAGGAGUCAUUUCAUUGACUGACUGACUGACUGACUGUUUUUUUGCCAGUCUGGGCUAUCCAGCUUCUGGUUCCUGGCCCUCCAGGCAGUGUCAGGUGUGGGUUCGUUCUCCUGGCGUGGGUUUCAAGUUGGACCAGUCAUUAGUUGGCCAGUCUCAGAAGGUUUUUUUGCUACCUUUACCCCAGCACAUCUUGAAGGUAGGACAAAUUGUAGGUCUAAGGUUUCAUGGCUGGAUUGUGUGCCCCAGUCCCUCCAUGGAAGCCUUGCCUGGUUACAGAAGAUGGCCAGUUCAGGCUCCAUAUCCCCCAUUACUAGGAGUCUUAGCUAGGAUCACUCUCAUAGAUUCUUGGGAUUUCCAUUGCACUAGGUUUCUACCUCAUCUCCAAAAUGUCCCCCCCCCCAAAUUCCAGUCAUCUCUCCCUCUACUCUCCCCUGCUUCCCACCUGAUCUCUUCUGUUCUCAUCCCUACCAGCCUGCAGCCCAUCUGCAAAUUCUAUUCUAUUUCCCCCUCCCAGCGAGAUUCAUGUGUCUCCUCUUGAGCUCUCCUCGUAACUUAACCUCUCUGGGGCUGUGGAUCAUAGCAUGGUUAUCCUUUACUUUAUAGUUAAUAUCCACUUACAGGUGAUAUUUUGUUUGUCUUUCUGGGUCUGAGUUACAUCACUCAGGAUGAUUUUUUUUUCUAGCUCCAUCCAUUUGCCUUCAAAUUUCAUGAUGUCAUUGUUUUUUGUUUGUUUGUUUGGGUUUUUUUUGUUUGUUUUUCGAGACAGGGUUUCUCUGUGUAGCUUUGCGCCUUUCCUGGAACUCACUUGGUAGUCCAGGCUGGCCUCGAACUCACAGAGAUCCGCCUGGCUCUGCCUCCCGAGUGCUGGGAUUAAAGGCGUGCGCCACCACCGCCCGGCUGAUGUCAUUGUUUUUAACAGCUGAGUAAUACUCCAUUGUGCAAAUAUACCACAUUUUCUUUAUCAGUUCUUCAGUUAAGGAACAUUGAGGGUUGUUCCAGUUUCUGGCUAUUACAAAUAAUGCUGCUGUGAACAAAGUUGUGCAAGCAUCCUUUUGGUAGGAUGAAGCAUCCUGUGGGUAGAUGCUCAAGAUUGAUAUAGCUGGGUUUUGAGGUAGAUGUACGGCCAUAUUGAUUUCCAAAGUGGCUGUUCAAGUUUGCACUCCCACCAGCAAUGGAGGAGUGUUCCCCUUGCUACACAUCCUCUUCAGCAUGAGCUGUAACUUGUGGGGUUUUUUUUGUUUUGUUUUGUUUUUUUGUUUUUUGUUUUUUUGGGGGGGGGGGGUUUGGUUUUUCGAGACAGGGUUUUUCUGUGUAGCUUUGCACCUUUCCUGGAACUCACUUUGUAGACCAGGCUGGCCUCGAACUCACAGAGAUCUGCCUGCCUCUGCCUCCCAAAUGCUGGGAUUAAAGGCAUGCACCACCACCGCCCGGCUGAUCUUAGCCAUUCUAACAGGUAUAAGAUGGAAUUUCAGAGUUGUUUCUCAGCCAUUUGAGAUUUCUUUGUUGAGAAUUCUGUUUAGAACUGUGUCCUAUUUUUUAAUUGAAUUAUUUGGUGUGUUGAUAUCUAGUUUCUUGAAUUCUUUAUAUAUUUUGGACACUAGCCCUCUGUCAGAUGUGGAGUUAGUGAAAAUCUUUUCCCAUUCUGUAGGCUGCUGUUUUGUCCUAUUGAUGGUACCAUUUGCCUUACAGAAGCUUUUCAGUUUCAUGAGGUCCCAUUUAUUAAUUUCUCUUACAUUUCUUCCCACCUUCUCUUUUAUGAUGAUCCCUGAGAAUUUGAGGGAGUGUAAAAAUCCUGUUUGGAGGUAAGCACUCAAUUGUUACUUUUUCCAAACAUCUUGAGCAGUUAUACACCUCGGCAUUCACCACUACUCACUGAGAGAGCAGGUUCCUCUUAUUAAAGUUGAAAGCAACAUUUGUCUAUGUGUGUAGAAAUAAAUAUUUAGAGGGCAGUUUGGCCACAAGUUGUUAAAGCAGCCUAAAUUGAGGUAAAUAUGUUAAAAAAAAUUGUAACAUGUAAAUUGUAACCUCUAUUUUCUCCAUAUUAUCUUUUGUUUGCUUUGAAAGAUAGCCAUUUUAUAUAAAUAUGUAUUAUUCAUUCCUCUUAGUUUUAAAUGAAUAUUUUAUGUUCUUAAUUUCAAUUUCUGGUUUAAAAAUCAAUUGGCAUACUUACAUCAACAAAAACUAUUGAAUAGUUCUCUACAAUUAUAUAUGUCUGUAUUAGUUCUUGGAGAAUUUUGUAUGAUGUGUUUUGAUCACAUUCACUCUCCCUCCUCCAACUCUACCCAGAUACACUCUCCCUUUCCUACUCACCCAACUUAGUGUACUUUUAAACUUUUUAUUUAUUAAAGAUUUAUUUUUAAUGUACGUGGUAUGUAAAUGCACCACAAGUAUGCAUGCCUGGUACCUGCAGAGGCCAGAAGAGGGCCUCAGAUCCCCUAGAACUGGAGUUAGAUGUGACCGUGAGCCACCAGUUGUGUGUGCUGGGAAUUGAACCCAAACCCUUGGUAAAAGCAGCAAAUGCUCUUGACUGCUGGGCCAUUUCUCCAGCCCCCGCUGCUUUCUUAACCUAUCUUCUCGAAUUUGUGCUGCUCAUACAUUUCUGGAUGUGCAGCCUCCCACUGGAGUGAGGUCAAUGUACCUGGAGUUACACUCUUAGAAAAACCGAUUUUUCCCUUUCCCAGAAACUACACAGGCUACCUUCAAUGCCCCUCAAGGAUGUCAUGGUAAGAUGUUCGUGCUAAGACACCACACACUUGAGUCCUGGAACAAGGAGAAAUCAAGCUGAUAUGAACUGGAAGUUUCAUCCCUACUGGCUGGCUUUCAUGGUGCCUGAGGAGAAAAGUGACCAUCAGUCUUCCCCACCUGAGACUCCUGCAAGCUACAAUAAUUCGGUAGAGGAGGAAGUUCAUUUUAACAAGUGUCACUUCUGAUGCCCAUUGUAAAAGCUCCUUAUAAAGCAGAUUGGUGACUACCAGAACUGUCAUCAGAGAGGCUUCACCCAGUAACUGAUGGAAACAGAUGCAGAGACCCACAGCCAAGCACUGGACCGAGGUCGGGGAAUCCUGCUGAAGAGCGGAAGAAAGGACUGUGCGAGCCGGGGUGUGUGUGGGGGGCGGGGGGUGGUCAAGGACCUCAUUUACCACAUCUUAAAGGUCAUUCUUCACAAAAGACUGUGACAUGGAAGAAUAAAAGAAAUUCUCAGCCAAAAAGAAGUGUUAUGAAUCAGUUUGUCUAGUCUCUCAUUUAAAAGGAAGAGAAAAUUACUUGUUGCUAUCCUGUUUGCAUGUGAGUAUCACCAUGACAUCUAAACUGUGUAUGUUCCCAUUUCAUCCCUAGAGAAGAUUGUUGGGAACUUUCCCUUUCCUAAAGCCACUAUAUCAAGAGCAUUGUAUAUGUGCUUAUCCUGUGCUCACUUCUUGAUCAACAAUCUGAAACAAAUUCAGUAUAAUGACUUAGGGUCCAAUAUAAAGUAAGACAACGUUCUUAGCAAACUAAUAGGAUUUUUUUCUCCGGCUGUAUGCACUUAUUCAUGAAUAAUAACUUGUCCUUACUUACUUCCUGGCCCAUAACCUCUGGAAGGGCACUAUUCUAUCCCUUCAAGCUCCACCACUGCCAGGACUUAGGGCAGGACUAGAAAGACAGCAGUCAGGAAAUAAUCCUCGGGGCUUUCCUAGCAAUGCAUGCCUGCAAUCCCUGCAAUCCCAGCAUUCGGGGUGGGGCAGGAAUGGGGUAUCAUUGCACAUUUGUGACCACUUGGUCUACAGUAGGUGUCCCAGGUCAAUCAGGGCUAUAAAGUAAGACUGUCGUAAAAAGCAAAAAUGGAAACAAACAAAAAGGACAAAGACUGAAGUUUACAGAUGACCUAAAAAUUACUAAGUGUUUGGUCUUUGGUCUGUUUGUUUGCUUCUCUCUGAAGCCCUUCAAAUCGGGCUGCCUUCAGAUUUUUCCCUCUCUUCCUCCUCUCUGGGACCUUUGCAAAUAAUUUUUCUUAUAUUGAAGACCCCUCAUGUUUCACCUUAUUCACACCUUGCCAGAGCCUUCCCUGGCACACUGUCGUCCCAGAAAAUUGUGGUUGCUAUGUUACACUGAAUAGCUUUUCCACAAGGUAACAACUUUAAUUCCACUUUGAUUAGUGAGAUGUUGUAAUUAAUGCUUGCCUCCCCCCAUGCAUCUGAAUCUUCAUAAGAGCAAGGACCAAAUGCAUGUGUUUAUCUAAAUUUUUUAUACUGUUUUCAUUUAUCAAUGUGUUUUAAGACAACUACAGAACCUAAUGCAUACUAAAAAGGCAACAAAGUUUUGUCGAAUGGAUGACUGAGAAAAUGGGUAAGUGGAUGAAUGGAUAGGUUUAUAUAUAGUCUUCUACAAACAUUUGGCAUCAUCUAAAAAUAGACUGGUACGAUAGAAUAUUGCUAUAAAUUUAACAAAGAAACAAGACUAUGCAUACAUUGGCUUUGUGUGCUAGUUUAAGUGGAGAUCGAAUCAUUAAAUCAGAAUAAAACUACCCUUGCAUUGAAAAAAUAGGCAAAUAAUCAUGUUGACUUUUUUUCCAAUGCAGGUGCAGCCCUAAAUUCAUGUCUAUCAUUAACCUUUCUGUCCGUUCCCUAGUCACUAUCCUUGAGUUGAUGCCAUCUGAUGGGUCCUGUUUUCUUGGAUUCAUUAUGUAAUAGGAAAACCUUUGCUCCGUUGUUGGAACAUUUAGUAACAUCUCUUAUAAAAUGCAAGUCUCACCUUUUGUGAUUUUGUGAGAACCCAUUCUAACAGUAGUGUUAGCUGAGAGAAGCUUGGCUUAUGUUAAACCCAAAGCCAGGCAAUAUCCAUGCUAUGCAGGGGUACAUUGUAUUUUAUGACUUAAAUAAAAAAAUAUUUCUAAAAGCACAUAUUCUGGGAUAAUAAGCUUCAACAAAAAAGAAGCCUGGGGUUAUUGAAACACAUGAAAUUUGAGCUUGAAGAGAAUUUAGAUGGUUUAAUAUUAUUUGAAGACCAUAUGAAGUAAGGAAUCUCUUUCUACCUGCAGUUUAAUACCUGCUAUCACUAUGGGGAUACAAGUAGCUAGCUGAAAAAUCUUCCUGCUUCAUGAUUCAUAUUCCUACACAGAUUGCUCCUUAAAUUCUAUGCUCACUGAAUGAAAGUCUGUAACUACAGGUUAUUUAGUUAUUCAUUAGUUCAUGCAUAGCAAAAAUACCAGAGAAUCCUCAAAGUUAUGAUUCUAAAGCCUCAUGCAUCACCACUCCUCUUACAGUGGAAAGAUACACUAAUGCUAUAUAUCUAUUGUUAUUUGCACAUUCGGAAUUACUAAAAUUACAUAUCUAUCUACUAUGUGUGGAUACUAUCAGCUAUUCUACAUUUCAUAUUUCUGGGUACUUUUAAAAUACAAAUAAUUUAUUUGAGAUGCUAAAAUUUUAAAAGUAACA